CUUGAAGAAUUAAAUUAACUUAGUGGCGGACGGGCGAGUAACACGUGAGCAACCUGCCUCUUACAGGGGAAUAACAACGGGAAACCGUUGCUAAUACCGCAUAACAUGUUAAAAGGGCAUCCUUUUAACAUCAAAGGAGUAAUCCGGUAAGAGAUGGGCUCGCGUCCGAUUAGCUAGUUGGUAGGGUAACGGCCUACCAAGGCGACGAUCGGUAGCCGGACUGAGAGGUCGAACGGCCGCAUUGGGACUGAGACACGGCCCAGACUCCUACGGGAGGCAGCAGUU
rnacentral:rRNA from 1 species